rnacentral:rRNA from 1 species
UACGGAGGUGGCAAGCGUUGCUCGGAAUCACUGGGCGUAAAGGGCGCGUAGGCGGGGAGGUAAGUCGGGUGUGAAAUCCCUCGGCCCAACCGAGGAACUGCGCCCGAGACUGCUUCUCUUGAGUCCCGGAGAGGAAGAUGGAAUUCCCGGUGUAGCGGUGAAAUGUGUAGAGAUCAGGAGGAACACCGGUGGCGAAGGCGGUCUUCUGGACGGUGACUGACGCUGAGGCGCGAAAGCGUGGGGAGCAAACGGG